rnacentral:rRNA from 1 species
UACAGAGGUCUCAAGCGUUGUUCGGAUUCAUUGGGCGUAAAGCGUGCGCAGGCGGUUCGUUGUGUCGGUGGUGAAAUCCCCGGGCUUAACCUGGGAAUGGCCAUGGAAACUGGCGAACUGGAGUGCGGCAGAGGGGGGUGGAAUUCCGCGUGUAGCAGUGAAAUGCGUAGAGAUGCGGAGGAACACCGAUGGCGAAGGCAGCCCCCUGGGCUAGCACUGACGCUCAGGCACGAAAGCGUGGGGAGCAAACAGG